AUGGCGGCCGCCGGGUGGUCCUCGGCCGCCUUCCUCGCACUCCUCCUCCUCCUGCUCCCGUUCGCGCCCAGCCCAGCACGCGCGGCGACGCCGGGGAAGUCCCCGUCGCCCACGUCCACCGCCGUGUUCCAGCUCCAGGGCGCCGUCUAUCCCAUCGGGCAUUACUAUGUCACCAUGAACAUUGGGGACCCGGCGAAGCCCUACUUCCUGGACGUCGACACCGGCAGCGACCUCAGCUGGCUGCAGUGCGACGCCCCCUGCCAAAGCUGCAACAAGGUGCCACACCCAUGGUACAAGCCAACAAAGAACAAGAUUGUUCCCUGUGCAGCUUCGCUCUGCACUAGUUUGAGCCCUAACAAGAAAUGCGCCGUACCACAGCAAUGUGAUUACCAGAUCAAGUACACGGACAAGGCAACUUCACUCGGCGUGCUCGUCGCUGACAACUUUACACUGUCCCUGAGGAAUUCAUCCACUGUCCGUGCCAACCUCACCUUUGGCUGUGGAUAUGAUCAGCAAGUGGGAAAGAAUGGCGCAGUGCAGGCGGCGACGGACGGCUUGCUUGCGCUUGGGAAAGGAUCAGUUAGCCUGCUCUCGCAGCUCAAGCAGCAAGGGAUUACCAAGAAUGUUGUUGGCCAUUGCUUCAGCACGAAUGGAGGAGGCUUCCUGUUCUUCGGGGAUGAUAUCGUACCCACCUCGCGUGUAACUUGGGUUCCCAUGGCUCGUACCACAUCUGGGAAUUACUACUCACCUGGCUCAGGAACACUGUACUUCGACCGACGCUCGCUAGGGGUGAAGCCAAUGGAGGUGGUAUUUGACAGCGGUAGUACCUACACCUACUUUGCCGCCCAGCCAUACCAAGCAACUGUGUCUGCGCUCAAAGCUGGUCUCAGCAAGUCACUUAAAGAAGUCUCAGACGUCAGUCUGCCUCUUUGCUGGAAAGGGCAGAAGGUAUUCAAAUCUGUGUCAGAGGUCAAGAACGAUUUCAAGUCACUGUUCUUGAACUUUGGCAAGAAUUCUGUCAUGGAGAUCCCUCCGGAAAACUACCUCAUUGUCACUAAAUAUGGGAAUGUGUGCUUAGGCAUCCUUGAUGGUACGGCUGCUAAACAGACAUUCAACAUAAUUGGAGACAUCACAAUGCAGGAUCAGAUGAUAAUUUAUGACAAUGAGAAAGGGCAGCUUGGAUGGAUCCGUGGGUCAUGCAGUAGAAGCUCUAAGUCUAUUAUGUCUAACUUUCCAUGA
rnacentral:rRNA from 1 species